CCCUUAGAUGUUCUGGGCCGCACGCGCGCUACACUGACGAAUGCAACGAGCUUAUAACCUUGGCCGAAAGGUCUGGGUAAUCUCCAAAUUUCGUCGUGAUGGGGAUAGAUUAUUGCAAUUAUUAAUCUUCAACGAGGAAUGCCUAGUAAGCGCAAGUCAUCAGCUUGCGUUGAUUACGUCCCUGCCCUUUGUACACACCGCCCGUCGCACCUACCGAUUGAAUGGUCCGGUGAAAUCUCGGGACGGCGGCUCGGUCGCUUGCGUCCGACUGCUGAAACUUGAUUAAACCAUAUCAUUUAGAGGAAGGUGAANUCGUAACA
rnacentral:rRNA from 1 species